AUGAGCUCCCAGAUUCGUCAGAAUUAUUCCACUGAGGUGGAGGCAGCCGUGAACCACCUGCUCAAUUUGCACCUGCAGGCCUCCUCAUCUGCCUCUCUCUGGGCUUCUACUUACACUGUGACGAUGUGGCUUGGGAGGGCGUGGGUCACUUCUUCCACGAAUUGGCCGAGGAGAAGCGCAAGGGUGCCUUAAAGAUGCAAAACCAGUAUGGCGGCUGCAUUCUCUUCCAGGACAUCCAGAAACUGGCCCAAAUUGAGUUAGAUAAGACCCUGAAAACCCUGAAUGCCACGGAAGCCGCCAUGGCCCUGGAGAAAAAUCUGAACCAGGCCGCUUUUGGAUCUUCAAGCCCUGAGUCCUGCCCGCACAGACCUCCAUCUCUGUGACUUCCUAGAGAGUCACUUCUUAGAUGAGGAAGUGAAACUCAUCAAGAUGGGCGACCACUUGACCAACCUUCCCAGGGUGGCUGGCCCCCAGGCUGGCCUGGGUGGGGUUCUCUUGGAAAGGCUCACCCACCCUCAAGCACGAC
rnacentral:lncRNA from 1 species